GUGUGUUACUUGAUUAAAUAAUUGGCAAUGAAAAAUGCUGCCAAGGUUAACAUUUAACUGUAAAUUUAAACCCAAUUUUGAUUAUUGUUCAAUAAACUUUGACCAUUCUGGUCAUUUAUUUAUACCUUAACUUGAUUGAACUUGUUACAGUUAAUUUUUGAUAUGCUAUUUACAUCGAUUCAUGAAAAUUAUAUUGUGUUGUAAACUGAGAAGAUGAUUAGCUUUAAUCAUAAUUAGUUUUCUUCCUGAUUGUUUGACCAAAAUAAGAAAGAAAUUGUAUUCAAAAACCCCGCUGAUUUCAAUUAACCAAUCAAGAGCACUUUACUUUCAACGGUUUUUGUUCUGAUGCCAAUGAAGUUAAAAAUAUUAACUUUCAUCUAAAUUUGUUUCUCUUUAUCUUGAAUUUAUUAAUAUUUAACAAUUAAAUUUUAACCCUAAAAAUGAGAAGUUAAUUAUUAGGUAAGUCAAAUUUAUACAUAUUUAUGAUCAACUGAUUUAUAAGUUAUUAGACAACAUUGUAUUACCAUCAGUAUAAACCAUUGAAACCUACACAUAAGAUCAACGGGAAUGGACUAGAGGUAAGCUCAAUCUGUUGUAACAACCUUUAAUUGUAACACACAAUUAGAUUGUUUAUAUUUUAUUAUUGAUAUUUUAUCUGGUGAAAGUAUAUUGAAAUUGAGAUUAAGAUUGCUUUAAUGAAUGUUACUUGGAACGAUCUUGAAGAUUUAUUGGGAAAUAAUCCAUUCUUGGAAGAUGAUUAAAACAAAAACAGUUGGCUAAUUGUUGCUGAAUCAGGAAAUUCAACUUGCCUGUACUUUUGGUUUCUAAUGUUCAACAAUGCUGUUAAAAUGGUGAAAGGAAAAUGAAGCCUUCAGAAGUAUUACAAUCAAACUGUUGGUGUCAAUUGUCUGGUGAUGAAUGAUGGAAACCUUGACUUAUAUUGAAAGUUAUUAAUAGACAAUGUGAUUAAUCUUAAUCUUGAUUGUUUCAGGCUUUAUGCAAGUAUUAUAAAAGCCUCACAUUUCAAUCUGUAUCAGUGUUUUGUGCUUAACCCGAUGCUAAAUAUGCAGACAUCAGAUGAUCCAUCAAUUUGUUUGAUGUGUUUGCCUUUUAUUGAGACAAUUAAAUGUUAAACUGGUUAAACAUUCAA